GUCACCCCGCAAGCUGCGCUCUAUUAUCACUUGAUUCAGUUUGGGGUUUGUGGAACCCGUGCUGUCCUGAAGCUCUGUAGCUGAGGAUGACCUUGAACCCUUGGGUUUUGCUAUCUCCACCUCCCAAGGGCUGGGAUGACAGGUUUCUGAGGAGACAUUGCUCUGGAGAGCUUCCUGGACAAGAGUGACCUGUUCCAAACUGGGAUGUAGUGCCCCUUCUGGAUCCCAGUGGAAGUGUGUCUCUGCUCUUGAAGGGGCAGUGAUUCCUGUAACCACGAGGAGUCCAGGGAUGGAGAGGAGUCUCAUUAUCAGUUCUGGCUGCCCUGGAACGUCCUGUAGUAGAAUGGGGUCUUUCUCUCUAGUUAAAGCUGGCCUCGAGUUCAUGGCAAUUCUUCUACCUCAGCUCAGGUACUGGCAUUACAGGCUUGUACCAGCAUGCCCAGGCUCAACCUAGUCCUGAAAAGCUUGCAUGUACGCAGACUAGACAACCACCUCUGUGCUGUAUUUCAUGGGCCAGUGUCUCAGUGCGCUUCCUGCCUGGAACUUCAUCUUGUCUCCCCAACAGGCUUUUAAA